rnacentral:rRNA from 1 species
AUUAGAGUUUGAUCAUGGCUCAGAACGAACGCUGGCGGCGUGGAUAAGACAUGCAAGUCGAACGAGAGAAUUGCUAGCUUGCUAAUAAUUCUCUAGUGGCGCACGGGUGAGUAACACGUGAGUAACCUGCCCCCGAGAGCGGGAUAGCCCUGGGAAACUGGGAUUAAUACCGCAUAGUAUCGAAAGAUUAAAGCAGCAAUGCGCUUGGGGAUGGGCUCGCGGCCUAUUAGUUAGUUGGUGAGGUAACGGCUCACCAAGGCGAUGACGGGUAGCCGGUCUGAGAGGAUGUCCGGCCACACUGGAACUGAGACACGGUCCAGACACCUACGGGUGGCAGCAGUCGAGAAUCAUUCACAAUGGGGGAAACCCUGAUGGUGCGACGCCGCGUGGGGGAAUGAAGGUCUUCGGAUUGUAAACCCCUGUCAUGUGGGAGCAAAUUAAAAAGAUAGUACCACAAGAGGAAGAGACGGCUAACUCUGUGCCAGCAGCCGCGGUAAUACAGAGGUCUCAAGCGUUGUUCGGAAUCACUGGGCGUAAAGCGUGCGUAGGCUGUUUCGUAAGUCGUGUGUGAAAGGCGCGGGCUCAACCCGCGGACGGCACAUGAUACUGCGAGACUAGAGUAAUGGAGGGGGAACCGGAAUUCUCGGUGUAGCAGUGAAAUGCGUAGAUAUCGAGAGGAACACUCGUGGCGAAGGCGGGUUCCUGGACAUUAACUGACGCUGAGGCACGAAGGCCAGGGGAGCGAAAGGGAUUAGAUACCCCUGUAGUCCUGGCAGUAAACGGUGCACGCUUGGUGUGCGGGGAAUCGACCCCCUGCGUGCCGGAGCUAACGCGUUAAGCGUGCCGCCUGGGGAGUACGGUCGCAAGAUUAAAACUCAAAGAAAUUGACGGGGACCCGCACAAGCGGUGGAGUAUGUGGCUUAAUUCGAUGCAACGCGAAGAACCUUACCUGGGCUUGACAUGUAAUGAACAACAUGUGAAAGCAUGCGACUCUUCGGAGGCGUUACACAGGUGCUGCAUGGCCGUCGUCAGCUCGUGUCGUGAGAUGUUUGGUUAAGUCCAGCAACGAGCGCAACCCCUGUUGCCAGUUACCAGCACGUGAAGGUGGGGACUCUGGCGAGACUGCCCAGAUCAACUGGGAGGAAGGUGGGGACGACGUCAGGUCAGUAUGGCCCUUAUGCCCAGGGCUGCACACGUACUACAAUGCCCAGUACAGAGGGGGCCGAAGCCGCGAGGCGGAGGAAAUCCUGAAAACUGGGCCCAGUUCGGACUGUAGGCUGCAACCCGCCUACACGAAGCCGGAAUCGCUAGUAAUGGCGCAUCAGCUACGGCGCCGUGAAUACGUUCCCGGGUCUUGUACACACCGCCCGUCACAUCAUGGAAGCCGGUCGCACCCGAAGUAUCUGAAGCCAACCGCAAGGAGGCAGGGUCCUAAGGUGAGACUGGUAACUGGGAUGAAGUCGUAACAAGGUAACCAAU